rnacentral:rRNA from 1 species
AGCGAACGCUGGCGGCAGGCUUAACACAUGCAAGUCGAGCGGGCACUUUCGGGUGUCAGCGGCGGACGGGUGAGUAACGCGUGGGAACGUGCCCUCUGGUUCGGAAUAACUCAGGGAAACUUGAGCUAAUACCGGAUACGCCCUUUUGGGGAAAGGCUUGCUGCCGGAGGAUCGGCCCGCGUCUGAUUAGCUAGUUGGUGAGGUAACGGCUCACCAAGGCGACGAUCAGUAGCUGGUCUGAGAGGAUGAGCAGACACACUGGGACUGAGACACGGCCCAGACUCCUACGGGAGGCAGCAGUGGGGAAUAUUGGACAAUGGGCGCAAGGCUGAUCCAGCCAUGCCGCGUGAGUGAUGAAGGCAUUAGGGUUGUAAAGCUCUUUUAUCCGGGACGAUAAUGACGGUACCGGAGGAAUAAGCCCCGGCUAACUUCGUG